UGUACCGGAAGGUGCACUUGGAUGG
rnacentral:rRNA from 1 species